CCCUUUUGUCCAGGGAGGAAGGGUUCAUCCUUUGGUUCAUCAGUCACACAUUGUGCAACCCAUGUGCAUUGCUGACCUUUGGCUUUUCUUGUUUGGUGUUUUUCCCACCCCCUGGAAGAGCAGGCAGUGGUGCUCUGAGGUCAAACCCAGCACUCUGAGGUCUUAUCUUCAUGAGCAAGAGCAGUUGUCCGACUCCACGUAGCCAAGAGCAUCAGGCACUUGUCUGGGAUGCAGAUUCAAGCUAAGUCCCUCCUGUGAAUGUGUCCCCAGCAUAUCAUUGCUGGGGACCCUGACACAAUGAAGUAGGCACUGGAAGCAGGCGCCAGAGUCAGGAGGGAGAGCAGAUGGUGACCUGGUUUUGCCAGUGAAAGAAUGAGGCUGGAAAGGCACUGUUGAAGUGAGGACACGGGGAAGAGGCUGCCUGGCAGUGCCUUACAUAAACAAGAGCUCAUUUGAGCCAGCCCGGGCCUGAGACCUGCCUCUUCCCAUGCUCCAGGAGGAAGAUGUGAUGGGGAGGUGAUGGUAGAAAAUGUAGAUCUAUGUGAUGCUUGAUUCUUAACCUGUGGUGUUAAAAGCACGUGUGGUACUAUGGGAGGAGUUUGUCCACCAUGUAGCUGGUCUUUGAUUGUCACUGCAUAAGUGACCCUCCAUGAGAUAGACCCCACUGUUCAUGUUUCUGCCUGAUCCCCAAUAUUUUUCCGAAGCAGGAAGGAUGAGUGUGUUUUUCCCUUUGUUUUCCCAUGUGCAGUUAACUAUUUGAAGAUGAUUCACUGUUAUGCUCAUAAACAUAUGCUUCUGCUUG